rnacentral:rRNA from 1 species
AAGGGGAUCCCCCACACUGGUACUGAGCACGGACCAGACUCCUACGGGAGGCAGCAGUGAGGAAUAUUGGACAAUGGAGGCGACUCUGAUCCAGCCAUGCCGCGUGCAGGAUGACGGCCCUAUGGGUUGUAAACUGCUUUUAUACGGGAAGAAAAAAGGGUACGUGUACCCUACUGACGGUACCGUAAGAAUAAGGACCGGCUAACUCCGUGCCAGCAGCCGCGGUAAUACGGAGGGUCCGAGCGUUAUCCGGAAUCAUUGGGUUUAAAGGGUCCGUAGGCGGGCGUAUAAGUCAGGGGUGAAAGUUUGUGGCUCAACCAUAAAAUUGCCCUUGAUACUGUAUGUCUUGAGUUAUGGUGAAGUUGCCGGAACAUGUGGUGUAGCGGUGAAAUGCAUAGAUAUCACAUAGAACACCAAUUGCGAAGGCAGGUGACUAACCAUAUACUGACGCUGAUGGACGAAAGCGUGGGGAGCGAACGGGAUUAGAUACCCCGGUAGUCCACGCCGUAAACGAUGGAUACUAGCUGUCGGGACUUCGGUCUCGGCGGCCAAGCGAAAGUGAUAAGUAUCCCACCUGGGGAGUACGUUCGCAAGAAUGAAACUCAAAGGAAUUGACGGGGGCCCGCACAAGCGGUGGAGCAUGUGGUUUAAUUCGAUGAUACGCGAGGAACCUUACCAGGGCUUAAAUGUACAUUGCAUAGCGUAGAGAUAUGCUUUUCUUCGGACUAUGUACAAGGUGCUGCAUGGUUGUCGUCAGCUCGUGCCGUGAGGUGUCAGGUUAAGUCCUAUAACGAGCGCAACCCCUACCGUUAGUUGCCAGCAUUUAAAGAUGGGGACUCUAACGGGACUGCCGGUGCAAACCGUGAGGAAGGUGGGGACGACGUCAAAUCAUCACGGCCCUUACGUCCUGGGCCACACACGUGCUACAAUGGCCGGUACAGAGGGAAGCCACCACGUAAGUGGGCGCGGAUCUAUAAAACCGGUCACAGUUCGGAUCGGGGUCUGCAACUCGACCCCGUGAAGCUGGAAUCGCUAGUAAUCGGAUAUCAGCCAUGAUCCGGUGAAUACGUUCCCGGGCCUUGUACACACCGCCCGUCAAGCCAUGGAAGCUGGGGGUGCCUGAAGUCCGUCACCGUAAGG